CGACCCCGGGAGGCUCUCUGGGGCCGCCCUUUCUCCGUUCGGGGCCGAUGGGACGAAGGCGGCAGGGGGCGGCCAGACGCCCGAGCUCCCUCCGGGCUCCGAGCCCCUAAGCCGAGCGGGCAAAAUGGGGAGAACCCAGUGCGGGGCUUUCCCCCAAAUAUCCUCCCAGUGUCCUGGGGAACAGGCCCUUUCCCCUGCCCCCGCCGUCGCAGCAGCCAGUCCCCCUCGCCACCCAACAGGCCUCCGGCCAUCCUGGUCCAGAGACAUCCUCAAGGGAAGAGAAUGGGGUCGAGGAGGGCCGGACACCGGUGUAGACGAGGACUGAGCUCUGGAUAACUGGAAUACCGGCCACCCCAGAGGUGCCUGGUCAGCCGGACCUCUCCACCUCCUUGGAGGCUAGAAAAUGGGCAGAAAGCCAGGUUUUUCCGCCAUCCCAGGCACCCUUUUGCUAGGAUAUGAGUGAAUCUUUACAGUCCCUGCUUUCGUGGACCAAUGGCCAAGCAGCCUUCCCCACUUGGCCCUGGGUUUGGCUGGUACGCCCUGCAGAACAGCUGCCUGGGACUGUCUCUCCCUCUUCUGAGGAGGACUGUAUGCAGGGAUCCACUACUCCAUCUGCCCCUCCUUUGGCCAGAAUGUCGGUGGGACCUAGGUCCUCUUCGCACAAGACCUGAAGACCUGCAGACACACUUACCUCUCAGAGGUCCGUGGGAGGUCUCAGCCACUUGGGAGGCUGAAGUGAGAGGAUCGCUUGAACCCAGGAGAUCAAGGCUGCAGUAAGCCAUGAUCGUGCCACUACACUCCUGCCUGGGGGACAGAGUGAGACCCUGUGUCAAACAAACAAAAAACACAGCCGGAUGCAGUGGCUCACACCUGUAAUCCCAUCACUUUGGAAGGCCAAGGUGGACGGAUCACUUGAGCGCAGAAGUUUGAGACCAGCCUGGGAAACAUGACAAAACCCAGUCUCUAACAACAACAACAAAAAUUAGCUGGAUGGUGGCACGUGCCUGUAGUCCCAGCUACUCAGGAGGCUGAGAUGGGAGAAUCACUUGAGCCCGGGAGGUUGAGGCUGCAGUGAGCCGAGAUUGAGACACUUCAGUUGCCUGGAUGACAGAGCAAGACCCUGUCUCAAAACACUCCACAUUUCUUUGGCACCCUACUUGCUAGAACAAUCUGUGAAUUGCAUGGCGAGGAUGGAGAGUGAGAUAGCUGGAGAUUUCCUCUACUGAUCCUAAAAUGCUUACCUUG
rnacentral:lncRNA from 1 species